rnacentral:lncRNA from 1 species
CAUAUAUUUGUCCAUUUAUGUGCAUUAGAGUCUAAAGUGCACACUUGAGAAGUUUGGGACGAAUGCGUGAAUAAUCAAGACUUCGAGGACCUGUUUUGCAAAUAAGCAAGAAUUCACCAUUAGAGCUCACGAGCUUUCUCCUCCAAGCCGAUCCGGAGCUUGACGACACGGCGAGCUUCGACCCGACGACAGCUAAGGCUGGGCUGACGAUGACGUGUGGUUUUAGGCCGUCACGGAGGAGAGCUCGACGAGGAAGACAGAGACGAGACUGAAGAGUCACGCCAAUGGAGGUUUCGGGGAAGAAGGCCAUGACCGGAUUGGAAGCUACGACGGCGAAGCUUGAGGCCACAGUGAAGACCGAGCACAACGGAGGACCAGAACACGGACGGAGACUUGGAAGGUGGUUCACGGUGGCUUGGAGAUUGAUUGUGGUGGAUUGCGGCGAAGAGGAAGACCACG